UCUCUCUCUCUCUCUCUCUCUCUCUCUCUCUCUCUCUCUCUCUCUCUCUCUCUCUCUCUCUCUCUCUCCAACAUAAGCUCAACUAUUAUUCUCCCCAUUUGCCCCCUUGACCCCUAGAAGAUAGAAGUAGACACCUAAUCCCCUUACAUGGAAAUUUUACUAUAUGUUUCUCAUCUUUUCUCUACAAUAAUUGUUUCCUUCAUAUUGGUGACAUUUCCUUCAAGAGUGCUCCUUUUCUGCAUAGCUAGACAGGUAUAGUCACAAUUGCCCACUAGAUAAGUAACAGUUUUGACAACUCUUCCUUGUUAAUCUUUGAGAAAGUCUUCAUUUCCUGUUGACCCUGGGUUCUCAAAGGAUCUACAGUCUAAUCAAGCUUCAAAUAGACCUUUGGAGGCCUAGCCUUGUGGGCUUUAGGUCUAGAUUUGUAAAUUGUACUGCUUCAUAUGGUUUUCUGGUUUUGAAAUAGGUUGUCAGAUCUUAAUAUAAAUGUGUAUAACGCCUUUGGACGCAGGCCUGCAGGAUUACAGAAGUCAGAUCCAUUUUCUUAGCAUAGGACCACAUCAUGGAGAAACCUGUUACUUAUCUCUUUUGAGAUACCUUGGAAAUGGGUAGAUGCACAUCUUCCUAUGUAAACAUAGGAGCACUUCAUGAAGUCAAAAUUAAGAGUUGAGACUUGACUAAGUAACAAAGUUCCCAACUGCAUCUAGGUGAUGAUGAAGCUAUAUGGCUUAUUCUUUCUCUAGACUCGUACAAUGUUUAAAAUUUUGGGGAAAGGACUCAAAGCACCCUGAGACAUCUUAGCUCAGACGUCCAAUGAGUUUUCUGUCAAAACCUUGGAAAAAGUAUGAUUCAGGGUAGGGUUGAGUCCUUUAAGUACUUGAAUGAGUUCCUGUGUUUUUCAGACUAACCUGAGCCUAGUACAAUUUUUUAUUGGUGGAUUUGCUGGAACUCAAAAGUCAUAUUUAUGUUUAUGCGACGUUUAAAUGUAUUAUACUUGUACGAAGGUGGAGGAAAAGGGUGUGCUCCUUAGGCAUUUUUCUGUACCACAUUCUUCAUGAAGACAUCUAAGCUGAAAGAAUGCUGAGCUUUUGGAAAGUUUUGAAAAAGCUUAAUGUUCUUCUGGGAAGCAUAUAUACAUACCAUGCACAAACGAUAUAACUACGUGUCUGCUUUCCUACAUAUUGAACCUAUUCUUUUUUUAUGAUAAUUUACAAAAUUUCAUUAAAGUAAAUUGUGAGGUAGAAUAUACUGGAAGUCGAACUCAGACAACAAAUGAACCUCCUAAAGACUGCUUCCAUCUUCAACCAACAAGGACUCCCCAUCGACAGCACCAUUAGCUAAGGCAUAUGCAUCCUGACUUGCCCUGACCAGGACGUGCUGAAAUGAUACAUCUUUAUUCUCACAGAUAUCUUUGAAAACAAUCACUGCCCACCAGUGCAGGCAUGUCUUGUACAAUGUUUAAAAUUUUGGGGAAAGGACUUAAAGCACCCUGAGACAUCUUAGCUCAGGCGUCCAAUGAGUUUUCUGUCAAAACCAUGGAAAAAGUAUGAUUCAGGGUAGGGUUGAGUCCUUUAAGUACUUGAAUGAGUUACUGUGUUUUUCAGUCUAACCUGAGCCUAGUACAAUUUUUUAUUGGUGGAUCUGCUGUAACUCGAAAGUCAUAUUUAUGUUUAUGCGACCUUGAAAUGUAUUAUACUUGUACGAAGGUGGAGGAAAAAGGUGUGCUCCUUAGGCAUUUUUCUGUACCGCAUGCUUCAUGAAGGUAUUCAAGCUGAAAUAAUGCUGAGCUUUUGGAAUUUUUGAAAAAGCUUAAUAGUUCUUCUGGGAAGCGUAUAUACAUACCAUUGCACAAGCGAUAUAACUACAUGUCUGCUUUCCUACAUAUUGAACCUAUUCUUUUUUUGGGAUAAUUUACAAAAUUUCAUUGAAGUAAAUUGUGAGGUAGAAUAUACUGGAAGUCGAACUCAGACAACAAAUGAACCUCCUAAAGACUGCUUCCAUCUUCAACCAACAAGGACUCCCCAUCCACAGCAUCAUUAGCUAAGGCAUAUGCAUCCUGACUUCGCCCUACCAGGACUUGCUGAAAUGAUACAUCUUUAUUCUCACAGAUAUCUUUGAAAACAAUCACUGCCCACCAGUGCAGGCAUGUCUCGACAUCCACCCUCCAUUUCACACACAUCUAUCUCUAAUGCCUUCCC
rnacentral:lncRNA from 1 species